rnacentral:rRNA from 1 species
UACGUAGGGUGCGAGCGUUAAUCGGAAUUACUGGGCGUAAAGCGUGCGCAGGCGGUUUUGUAAGUCUGACGUGAAAUCCCCGGGCUUAACCUGGGAAUUGCGUUGGAGACUGCAAGGCUGGAGUCUGGCAGAGGGGGGUAGAAUUCCACGUGUAGCAGUGAAAUGCGUAGAGAUGUGGAGGAACACCGAUGGCGAAGGCAGCCCCCUGGGCCAACACUGACGCUCAUGCACGAAAGCGUGGGGAGCGAACAGG